UCUCGGUUAGUAUAGUGGUGAGUAUCCCCGCCUGUCACGCGGGAGACCGGGGUUCAAUUCCCCGACCGAGAG